AUUGAACGCUGGCGGCAUGCCUUACACAUGCAAGUCAAACGGCAGCACGGGUUCUUGCACCUGGUGGCGAGUGGCGAACGGGUGAGUAAUACAUCGGAACGUACCUUAUCGUGGGGGAUAACGCAGCGAAAGCUGUGCUAAUACCGCAUACGCCCUGAGGGGGAAAGCGGGGGAUCGCAAGACCUCGCGCGAUUAGAGCGGCCGAUGCCUGAUUAGCUUGUUGGUGGGGUAAAAGCCCACCAAGGCGACGAUCAGUAGCUGGUCUGAGAGGACGAUCAGCCACACUGGGACUGAGACACGGCCCAGACUCCUACGGGAGGCAGCAGUGGGGAAUUUUGGACAAUGGACGAAAGUCUGAUCCAGCAAUGCCGCGUGAGUGAAGAAGGCCUUCGGGUUGUAAAGCUCUUUUGUCAGUGAAGAAAACUUUAAUAAUAACACUAUUAAAGCAUGACGGUAACUGAAGAAUAAGGACCGGCUAACUACGUGCCAGCCGCCGCUGCAC
rnacentral:rRNA from 1 species